rnacentral:rRNA from 1 species
GACGAACGCUGGCGGCGUGCUUAACACAUGCAAGUCGAACGGUGAAGCUCCAGCUUGCUGGAGUGGAUCAGUGGCGAACGGGUGAGUAACACGUGAGCAACCUGCCCCUGACUCUGGAAUAAGCGCUGGAAACGGCGUCUAAUACUGGAUACGAGAAGGGCCCGCAUGGGCACUUUCUGGAAAGUUUUUCGGUUGGGGAUGGGCUCGCGGCCUAUCAGCUUGUUGGUGAGGUAAUGGCUCACCAAGGCGACGACGGGUAGCCGGCCUGAGAGGGCGACCGGCCACACUGGGACUGAGACACGGCCCAGACUCCUACGGGAGGCAGCAGUGGGGAAUAUUGCACAAUGGGCGAAAGCCUGAUGCAGCGACGCCGCGUGGGGGAUGACGGCCUUCGGGUUGUAAACCUCUUUCAGCAGGGAAGAAGCGAAAGUGACGGUACCUGCAGAAGAAGCACCGGCUAACUACGU